rnacentral:lncRNA from 1 species
AAAUCUCUAAAAAGACUUAUAUUUAGGAACGGAGGGAGUAACAACUUAUCAUAAAGAAACAUGAGCAAUACAACUAGAAAUAGUUUAGGCAUCAGCUGCACUAAUAAAAUACCCUUCUUGAAUGAUGAAUGUACACCGCAUGACGAAGCAUGAAAGACAGACAAUACAACAGCUUGCACAUCGACACAUCAUCAUGGAGCACAAAUUCAGUAUGAACAAAUUCACAUACGAGCACUACAUUCAACUCCAAGGCGGGUUGCUGAUAAACAUCAGUCAAAGUAGGUCCUUGCCGUGCCAUCGGACAUGGAAGACUAGUGCCAGGAGCAUAAGUACAUAAUGCUCCAGAGACGUCAGGCAAUAUUUAACGAAACAAAUUAUUAGAAGCAUGACGAAAGUCUGAGCAAUCUGCAGAAAUAUCUGUAAAAAAAUGUUGAAAUGUUAAACUAAUAGGUAAAGUUUAAUCAAACAGGUUCAGAGUGGGAUACUUGCAAUGAGAUGGUCUCACCUUUAAACAGAGAAUACAAAUCUGAUAGCCGAAGCAGCUCAUACUGAAAUCACGAAGAGGAAAUCUCAUACUGAAAUGACGCGGAGCAAAUUAUAACUCAUUUUCUGUGGGAUACGACAUGAAAAGAAGAAAAGAGGUCUAAGCACCCAGAUCUGCAACAAACCAACCAAUCAAGAAACAAGCCAAGGGAUCAGCUCUGCUUGGGGCAAUGAAUGAAUGAAGAAGUUUCAAACGCCUAAGGCAGUUGAAAAAAAAUCAACGAGGAAGUUAUAACAGAGACAUGUCUACGGCAGUCAUAUCAUAUAUAUGACAUCUAAGGCAGAGCGAGUUGGAAGAAAAAACAUUGGAAGCAUGAAGAAACCCUCUUAGAACAAGAAGAGUGAAAAACGGAAUUAUUAAGAAGUGAGAGGCAGAAGAUUUACUAGAAAACAAUCAACUCAGACAUAGUGACACACGCUAGAUCCAUUGUUUCUGCGCACACAUACUGGAUCCAUCUUAGCUUGAAAAUGGAAACAUCAAAUGGAUGCGACCGUCUGGGGGGCAUCACCAGAUCUGAAAAAAUCUGAAUUUCAUCUAUAAAAAAAAACUGCAUCUGGCUUGUGAUUUGCGGCACAGGAUUUGUAGAUCUGAAGAAGAAAAACACGAAACGAUGGCAAAACAGAAGACAGGAUGGUGAACAAGGAAGGACGCGACUCAUCCUCGCCGGCUGUCGUGCCCAGCUUCCGGCGACUGCAUCGUCAUCAUCUAC